rnacentral:rRNA from 1 species
CGGCGUGCUUAACACAUGCAAGUCGAGCGAAGCACUUAAGCGGAUCUCUUCGGAUUGAAACUUAUUUGACUGAGCGGCGGACGGGUGAGUAACGCGUGGGUAACCUGCCUCAUACAGGGGGAUAACAGUUAGAAAUGGCUGCUAAUACCGCAUAAGCGCACAGGACCGCAUGGUCUGGUGUGAAAAACUCCGGUGGUAUGAGAUGGACCCGCGUCUGAUUAGCUAGUUGGAGGGGUAACGGCCCACCAAGGCGACGAUCAGUAGCCGGCCUGAGAGGGUGAACGGCCACAUUGGGACUGAGACACGGCCCAGACUCCUACGGGAGGCAGCAGUGGGGAAUAUUGCACAAUGGGGGAAACCCUGAUGCAGCGACGCCGCGUGAAGGAAGAAGUAUCUCGGUAUGUAAACUUCUAUCAGCAGGGAAGAAAAUGACGGUACCUGACUAAGAAGCCCCGGCUAACUACGUGCCAGCAGCCGCGGUAAUACGUAGGGGGCAAGCGUUAUCCGGAUUUACUGGGUGUAAAGGGAGCGUAGACGGAAGAGCAAGUCUGAUGUGAAAGGCUGGGGCUUAACCCCAGGACUGCAUUGGAAACUGUUUUUCUAGAGUGCCGGAGAGGUAAGCGGAAUUCCUAGUGUAGCGGUGAAAUGCGUAGAUAUUAGGAGGAACACCAGUGGCGAAGGCGGCUUACUGGACGGUA